AACGAACGCUGGCGGCAGGCUUAACACAUGCAAGUCGAGCGCCCCGCAAGGGGAGCGGCAGACGGGUGAGUAACGCGUGGGAAUCUACCCAUCUCUACGGAAUAACGCAUGGAAACGUGUGCUAAUACCGUAUACGUCCUUCGGGAGAAAGAUUUAUCGGAGAUGGAUGAGCCCGCGUUGGAUUAGCUAGUUGGUGGGGUAAAGGCCUACCAAGGCGACGAUCCAUAGCUGGUCUGAGAGGAUGAUCAGCCACACUGGGACUGAGACACGGCCCAGACUCCGACGGGAGGCAGCAGUGGGGAAUAUUGGACAAUGGGCGCAAGCCUGAUCCAGCCAUGCCGCGUGGGUGAUGAAGGCCCUAGGGUUGUAAAGCUCUUUCACCGGUGAAGAUAAUGACGGUAACCGGAGAAGAAGCCCCGGCUAACUUCGUGCCAGCAGCCGCCGUAA
rnacentral:rRNA from 1 species